AGCUGACUUGGUCUUAAAUGUGAUAUCUAAACACAGAUUAAGGACAAUGGAGCAGGAGGAUUAGCAUUUCACUUGAUGGCUGAACCUAAAAUGACAGGCAUGUCGACCACGACUAGUGCACACAAGAGAAGGACCUGCAGCGAGCCAAAUGCAGUUUUAGUGAAGCAGUCAUCAUUAGAAGAUAGUCGCCAAAGCGACCCUGUGCAACAUUAUGAUAAUGCAGUUGUAAUGAAGAAGUCCUUAGUAGAAGAUAGAGCGCAAAAAAGGUUCCGGCGUGAGCCUAUGCAACGAUAUAAU